UGCCAGCAGCCGCGGUAAUACGGAGGGUGCAAGCGUUAAUCGGAUUCAUUGGGCGUAAAGGGCGCGUAGGCUGAAAAGCCAGUCGGGCGUGAAAUUCCGGGGCUCAACCCCGGAGCUGCACUCGAUACUACUUUUCUAGAGGAUAGGCGGAGAAAACGGAAUUCCACGUGUAGCGGUGAAAUGCGUAGAUAUGUGGAAGAACACCCGUGGCGAAGGCGGUUUUCUAGCUUAUUCCUGACGCUGAGGCGCGAAAGCAAGGGGAGCGAACAGGAUUAGAUA
rnacentral:rRNA from 1 species